GUGAGCUUAGUUCAGUUGGUACGGAUAUUGCAUAUUAUAUGCAGGGGCCGGGGUUCGAACCCCGGAUACUCCA
rnacentral:tRNA from 1 species